rnacentral:rRNA from 1 species
UGCUUAACACAUGCAAGUCGAACGAGAAAGGGUUCUUCGGAACCUGAGUAAAGUGGCGCACGGGUGAGUAACGCGUGGAUAAUCUACCCCCGAAUCUGGGAUAACAGUUCGAAAGGGCUGCUAAUACCGGAUGACAUCGGAAUCACUUUGGCGAUUUUGAUCAAAGAGGGCCUCUUCUUGAAAGCUCUUGUUUGGGGAUGAGUCCGCGUCCCAUUAGCUUGUUGGUGGGGUAACGGCCUACCAAGGCUGCGAUGGGUAGCUGGUCUGAGAGGAUGAUCAGCCACACUGGGACUGACACACGGCCCAGACUCCUACGGGAGGCAGCAGUGAGGAAUUUUGCGCAAUGGGGGAAACCCUGACGCAGCAACGCCGCGUGAGUGAUGAAGGCUUUCGGGUCGUAAAGCUCUGUCAAGUGGGAAGAAACC